GCAUAUCAAUAAGCGGAGGAAAAGAAACCAACAGGGAUUGCCUCAGUAACGGCGAGUGAAGCGGCAAAAGCUCAAAUUUGAAAUCUAGCACCUUCGGUGUUUGAGUUGUAAUUUGAAGAUGGUAACCUUGGGUUUGGCUCUUGUCUAUGUUCCUUGGAACAGGACGUCAUAGAGGGUGAGAAUCCCGUCUGAUGAGAUGCCCAUUCCUAUGUAAGGUGCUAUCGAAGAGUCGAGUUGUUUGGGAAUGCAGCUCUAAGUGGGUGGUAAAUUCCAUCUAAAGCUAAAUAUUGGCGAGAGACCGAUAGCGAACAAGUACAGUGAUGGAAAGAUGAAAAGAACUUUGAAAAGAGAGUGAAAAAGUACGUGAAAUUGUUGAAAGGGAAGGGCAUUAGAUCAGACUUGGUGUUUUACGAUUAUCUUCUCUUCUUGAGUUGUGCACUCGUAUUUCACUGGGCCAGCAUCGAUUCGGAUGGCAAGAUAAUGGCAGUUGAAUGUGGCUUCACUUCGGUGGAGUGUUAUAGCUUCUGCUGAUAUUGCCUGUCUGGAUCGAGGGCUGCGUCUUUUGACUAGGAUGCUGGCGUAAUGAUCUAAUGCCGCCCGUCUUGAAACACGGACCAA
rnacentral:rRNA from 1 species